AGUAAAAUUCUUUGAGAAUCUUUCCUGUUUUCCCUGCUUACAAUCAUUGGAUUUGGACGGAAACAAUUUUACUAACCUUCCUACAUGCGAGCAACUACAUAAUUUGCUCAGCUUGCAGGUUUCGUGUUGCAGACAACUACAAGAGAUCAUCAACAUCCCAGGGAAAUUGUGGUAUCUAGAGGAAAAAAGUUGCGAAUCUCUGACUAGA